rnacentral:rRNA from 1 species
CCCAGACUCCUACGGGAGGCAGCAGUGGGGAAUAUUGCACAAUGGGGGGAACCCUGAUGCAGCGACGCCGCGUGGGUGAAGGAGUAUUUCGGUAUGUAAAGCCCUAUCAGCAGGGAAGAACAAUGACGGUACCUGACUAAGAAGCACCGGCUAAAUACGUGCCAGCAGCCGCGGUAAUACGUAUGGUGCAAGCGUUAUCCGGAUUUACUGGGUGUAAAGGGAGCGCAGGCGGCGCGUUAAGCCUGGUGUGAAAGUCCGCGGCCCAACCGCGGGACUGCAUUGGGAACUGGCGCGCUGGAGUGCCGGAGGGGUAGGCGGAAUUCCUAGUGUAGCGGUGAAAUGCGUAGAUAUUAGGAGGAGCACCAGUGGCGAAGGCGGCUUACUGGACUGUAACUGACGUUGAGGCUCGAAAGCGUGGGGAGCAAACAGGAUUAGAUACCCGUGUAC